GGCACAGGUUAAAUAGAUCUUUAAUAUAUAAAUAUUUAUAAUUUUAAUUUAGACACCACUACACAUGAAUGUAAUAUUUGCUCUUCCGGUGUUAAUAUUCUGCCGCGUUUCAACUGAACAGCGGUAUACAAUGCACAUGCGCACUUUGCGUUGUUGAGCAAGUACUGGGCAGUCAAGGAGCAAAUAAAUUUUAAUUUGUUGUGUUCGUUCAAUAUUUUUUAAUAAAAAUGGCAACGAAGGGCAUUGAAUCAAGAUUAAGAAGUUACAAAUACAACGACAGAGACCAAGCAGUAAGUAGAGUACAACGUACAGUCGAUAUUUUUUGACCGGUGUUAGUUCUUCUCAAGCUCAGUAACUCACCUUGAGUCUUUGGGAAGUAGCAGUCUGGUCUGACGGAAUGUACGAUUGUUAAAUAUACACGUUUUGUUAUCUUCUACUCUCACUUAAACUACCUCUGCUAGCUAAUCCUUCAAUAUAUAAAGCCUUUUUAAAUUUAGGUGUGAAUAAAUUAUGAAGGAGGACUGAAAUCAAUAUCAUUGAUUCAGCAAGAAUUGAAAACAUCUCGACAAUGACAUUGUUCACUGAAUAACCUGAUCUAAUAUAAAGUGUGUAUUGAGUGUUUAGAAGUGAAUUAGUUCUGGUGAAAUUGAUGAGUAUGUUGAAGAAUAAAUUUAAAUUGACAUACUUGCAAAUUUGUUUAUAAAUCAAAGGCUUCAUAUCGUAAACCACCCCAGCUGAUGCUUUUGAUAAACGUGUAAUUAUAUUUGAAUGCUCUAGGGGUCCAGUGGGGUGACCUCUGGGGGUCCAGUGGUAAUUUAGUGUUUUGUAAAUGCCAUUUUGUGCAUCUAUAAAUGUGAUUCAUAACAUGUUGAGGGGUGGUUAGUUGCGUCAGGUUAAGUGGUCACAAGCCUUUAUUAUAUUCAUUUUGAAAUCAAUAUGAUUCCCAAAUCUCACCAUUUUGAGCAUUAAGUUGCAGAGCUUCCCCAUUGACGAGUAAAAUUGUCUGGCGUUGGACAAGUAAAAAAAUAAGUAGGGCGCACUGGGGCGCAUUGCGGCUCAAUGAGUUAAUAGACUGCUUUAGGCAAAUGCAACGCGACAUCGACCAGGAUAUGAAAAUGGCGGCAUGGCAAGUGGUUUAGUCUAGGAUGUUGUUCACGUUGUGUUUAGGACGGCAUUUAGGGUGUUUUCACGUCCUAUCUAGAACGUCACAAAAUUAUGCUUGUUUUGAAAGUAUGAGAGUAUGCACAACAAAAAACAUUUAAAUAGUUGUUUUAUUCAAUAAAAACAGUCUAUUUUGUUCCCCAUGUAUUCUUUAAUAUUUGUAGCUGAAUUUUGUUUUGAUUGACAAGUUUGUGUUCUUAUGUGUUGCUGAGGUUUGGACAGAUUGAUUUUUGACAAGUACUUUCAUUGUCAUAACAAAACAAGAAAACUGCAAGCAUUGUUGACCUCUUCAAUACUGCUUCUAUUGCUGACCAAAAGACAAAUUUUAAUUAGAGCACAAUUACUGAAUUACAACAAAACUUUCAUAUGUAGAAAAAAGUAAUAAUAUUGAAUAAUUAAGCACAAAAAACAAAAUCAUUUUUACUUGCCUUUACACAAAAAAUAUGACAAUACAUGACAAAUAAAAAAAUAGGUAUGCAUUGUAUAUAGGUGCGUACAUGUGGUUAGCCUAUAGGAUUGGCAAUUGUUAUAACGUAUAGCUAAGGCCUAAAAAAAUACCUGUGGUUCCGGUUCCCAACCGACCCUAUUUUUUUCUGCCGACCCCAUUAUUUUUUCAAUGCAAUUGACUGUGCAACCCUAUUUUCUCUGGGUGGUUGCGGGCUGUUCAUACAGCGUGCCAAAUGGCAUCUGUUGUCACACUAAUCAUUGAACCAAAUUGCCUAAAUUCGUCCAUAGGAAAUACGCAUCUCUAGUUAAUAUUGAUGUCCGGACUCUACUGCAAGUCACCCAGCAAAAAACCACCAAAACCAUGAAAAAAAAUAUAUUUCCGACCUACCGACCCUAAUUUUUUCACGAUAUGAAACCGGAACCACAGGUAUUUUUUUAGGCCUAGUUUCAUUUAAAAUAAGUAAAUUAAUUGCUUGUUUGCAAUCGAGGCCAUCUUGGUUGAUUUUUCAACCAUUGAACCAUAAGAUUUAUAUUCUUCAUUCUUUGUUGUAUGAAGCCAGAUACCUUAUAAACUAUCCAUAAUACAGCAACAUUUUUAAAAAUUAUUUGAUAAUUUUCAGAAAAAAUUAUGGUUUGAUAUACAGUAGAAAUGAUAGAGAUCAUAGUGUCUCAGCAUGUGCAUGUUGUACGAUAUGUUUGACAUUUCCUCACAUCAUUUCUCCUUCCUGUGUCUGUUAAAUUUAAUAAGUUAUAUUUCUUGUAGUCAUCAAGGCAAAGACGAAAUGAUGUUACAGUUGAAUUAAGAAAGGUAGUAUUUGUUUUUAUUUAAAAAGGAAAUUUUGUGUUUGGGCUUACUUAAUGUUU